rnacentral:rRNA from 1 species
CUGGCUCAGGAUGAACGCUGGCGGCGUGCCUAACACAUGCAAGUCGAACGGGACUAUCAAGUGAUGUUUCGGACUGAACUUUUAGUUAGUGGCGGACGGGUGAGUAACGCGUGGACAACCUGCCUCUCACUGGGGGAUAGCAGCUGGAAACGGCUGGUAAUACCGCAUGCGUUCAAUGUGCCGCAUGACACAUUGAAGAAAGAUUUAUCGGUGAGAGAUGGGUCCGCGUCUGAUUAGCCAGUUGGCGGGGUAACGGCCCACCAAAGCGACGAUCAGUAGCCGGCCUGAGAGGGCGGACGGCCACACUGGGACUGAGACACGGCCCAGACUCCUACGGGAGGCAGCAGUGGGGAAUAUUGCACAAUGGGGGGAACCCUGAUGCAGCGACGCCGCGUGAAGGAAGAAGUAUUUCGGUAUGUAAACUUCUAUCAGCAGGGAAGAAAAUGACGGUACCUGACUAAGAAGCCCCGGCUAACUACGUGCCAGCAGCCGC